UCUAAUAUGGCAGAUUAGUGCAAUGGAUUUAAACCCCAUAUAUAAAGUUUUAACUUUUUUUAGAA
rnacentral:tRNA from 1 species